AUUGAACGCUGGCGGCAGGCUUAACACAUGCAAGUCGAGCGGUUAAGGUAGCUUGCUACCGAUACAGCGGCGGACGGGUGAGUAAUACAUGGGAAUCUGCCUGGUAGUGGGGGGCAACGUUUCGAAAGGAACGCUAAUACCGCAUACGCCCUACGGGGGAAAGGGGGGGAUCUUCGGACCUCUCGCUAUCAGAUGAGCCCAUGUCAGAUUAGCUUGUUGGUGAGGUAAAGGCUCACCAAGGCGACGAUCUGUAACUGGUCUGAGAGGAUGAUCAGUCACACUGGAACUGAGACACGGUCCAGACUCCUACGGGAGGCAGCAGUGGGGAAUAUUGGACAAUGGGCGCAAGCCUGAUCCAGCCAUGCCGCGUGUGUGAAGAAGGCCUUAGGGUUGUAAAGCACUUUCAGUGGGGAGAAAGGCCUUUUACUUAAUACGUAAGAGGAUUGAUGUUACCCACAGAAGAAGCACCGGCUAACUCCGUGCCAGCCGCCGCAGUAA
rnacentral:rRNA from 1 species